CGCGCAGGCGGUUUCUUAAGUCUGCUGUGAAACUCCGGGGCUCAACCCCGGACAUGCAGCGGAUACUGGGAGACUAGAGACCGGUAGAGGCUAGCGGAAUUCCUGGUGUAGCGGUGGAAUGCGUAGAUAUCAGGAAGAACACCGGUGGCGAAGGCGGCUAGCUGGGCCGGAUCUGACGCUCAGGUGCGAAAGCGUGGGGAGCAAACAGGAUUAGAUACCCUGGUAGUC
rnacentral:rRNA from 1 species